UGCUGCCAGAUGCUUGGCCAGGCUGCCCAUU
rnacentral:piRNA from 1 species